UACAGAGGUCUCAAGCGUUGUUCGGAUUUAUUGGGCGUAAAGGGCGCGUAGGCGGCGGGGUAAGUCGGGUGUGAAAUCUCAGGGCUCAACCCUGAAACUGCACUUGAUACUGCUCUGCUUGAGGACUGGAGAGGAGACUGGAAUUCACGGUGUAGCAGUGAAAUGCGUAGAUAUCGUGAGGAAGACCAGUGGCGAAGGCGGGGUCUCUGGACAGUUCCUGACGC
rnacentral:rRNA from 1 species